AUGGUGGAACUAAUUGUUUCUGUAGGGAACACGGUUUGAGGGUCCUUGGCCUCUGCUGUCUUCAAUGAGUUUCCUGUUCUGCAUGAUACCAGGUACAUUCUUAAGUGAAAUAAGAAGACUAGAAUGAAGAUUAUUUGCUGACAUUGAGCAAUGUUUGCUCCUUGAGUACUCUAUUGUCCAGGACAACCUUGGAAAAUGGACCAUGAGUUAUAA
rnacentral:lncRNA from 10 species